GAUGCAUCAAUAAAGGAGCAAAUGGCUAUGGUUUUAAGGUAUGUCGAUAAACAUGGGUAUGCGAUUGAGAGGUUCAUUGGGAUUAAGCAUGUUGGUGACACAAGAGCGGCUUCUCUAAAAGCAGCUUUGGAUGGUAUGUUUCUUAAACAUGGCUUGUCUAUGUCUAAAUUGAGAGGGCAAGGGUACAAUGGAGCUUCUAACAUGAGAGGACAAUUUCGUGGGUUGCAAAGGUUGAUACUAGAUGAAAAUCCUUAUGCAUUAUAUAUUCAUUGCUUUGCCCAUCAGUUGCAGUUAGUGGUUGUUGCUGUUGCCAAGUGUUGUUCCUCUGUAUUGGAUUUCUUUAACCACGUAACUUUGAUUGUC
rnacentral:rRNA from 1 species